rnacentral:lncRNA from 1 species
UCUGGGUACUGUAGUUUUGGGAGGGAGCGUCACAGGGAUGAUUCUGGGCAAUGGGCGGUAGCGGCUAAGGCUUCUGGUUAUGGUAGUUCUGUGAUUGGGGCAUGCAGAAUCUUCUGGGUAAUGUAGUCUGUGAGGUCCCUCCCAGGGUUCUGGGUAAUGUAGUUCUGAUUGGGAUACGCAGAGUCUUUUGGGUACUGUAGUCCUCGGUGUGGACUGUCAGGCCAAGAAUUCUGGGUACUGUAGUUGGGGGUGCACACCGGGGCUUUUCGGCUGGGUUAUGACGUGCAAGAUUCUGUAUACGUGCUGCCGAAGCAAGCACAUCGUGGAAGAUUCUGUGACCUCUGGUGAGCAAGGCUGUGGAGUCAGCAGGUGUUGUUACCAACCUCCUUCUGUCAGUUGCCCUGGUGAGCUAGACUAAAAAAAAGGCUGAGAAGACCAGGCUGGCCGAGCGUUGCUGACCGGCCCCAGGGCGCCCACACCUGAGAGGUGUCUGGACAGAGCUUCUUCAGCUCGCGUGACCCUCCCUGCUGGGCCCAAUCCUGGCGUUUCUGGGCUACGCCCCGCCUUCUCCGGAACCCAGGCCUACCCCCUGCUGUGAGUGGGCCCGUUUCUCCCAAGACCCACCCCCAGGACGCCCAGUGCUGAGAAACCCUGGCCACGCCCCUCCUCAGCCUGCAGCCAGGCCCCGCCCCCUCCCGCGAGGCCGCUCGCUGCUCCUGCUCUUUUCUGGGCCCUUCCCAUCCCCUGCCCAGAGCGCGAGACUUUGCCCUUCGGACAGCCGUUCAGAGGGGUCACCGCAGAGCUCUGCUUCAUGUCUCCCCUCAGCAGGUGAGAAGCCUCCAUCCUUGGCCUCGGCCCUCCUCCAGGACUCAGUCUCCUGCCAAGCCUGCCCUAGGCGUCCCUCAGGCUGAACAGCAGGAGAGUGAGGUGCAGCAGGUUGGUGUUAGAGAAGAUGAUGAUGAGGAGCCUGAUGAGGAUGAUGAUGACAUUGUAUUUACAAAAGAUGCGGAAGAGAUGAGUGAGGAAGAUGAGCAGGAAAUUGAUGCAGUUGAGCGCCUGAGAAGUGAAGUGGGAGAAAUAUUUGAAACAGAUCUGAAUAAUUUACAAAUGAUACACGUUAUGACUUUUCCUUCAUUUUUCAUAAUUCAAAAUGCAACAUUUGAGCAUGAAACCAAGGCAAACUGGCUAAUGCCUUAUUUCAAGAUUACAUUUCAAAAGAAGCGCAUAUUUUAGGGCUCUGUUUCCUUUGUCAGUACCACUUAAUAAUGAAAACCAUUCCAUAAAUCAAGAGCAACUGUGAGCCCUCACAGGGUCAGAGGAGGGUUAGCUGCCAGCACUUAGCCACUUGGUGGCUGAAAAAGACCAGUUACACUGAAGUGGUCACCAGAAGUGUCUAUGUGCUGUGCAUGAAUGACUUUUUUCCCACCAGAUAUAUUAGGUUCUAUGAUUUUUCUCAUUAGUAAGAAUUUGAGAAGUUUUUGAUACCAAUAAUUUCUGUACAUGGAGCUCAGAAAAUCCACAUGGUACAGUAUACAUUGAGUAUGAAACUGGUGGACAAUUGCGCGAGUUUGAUUGAGACAUGUGAUGCAGUGUCAGCAAACCUUGCCCAGAAAAUGCUUGCCUUUACCUACAAGUAUACAAGCUCAUUUGGCUACUGGGACUCUGUAAAGGUAAUUUCAUCAAAUGUAUCUGAAAACCAUACUCUUUGAAUAUUGCUUUAAUAAAAUACAGGUACUUCUAGGAAGAAGACUAAAUAAUUCAAAAAAUUUUAAGAAUUGUAUAGUAAUCUUUUCCCCCCCAUUAACUUUAUUGGUACAUUUUAGGUAUACAAUACAGUUACAUUCAUCAUUGAGAUCUUGUACCAUUACAUGAGUCUCUUGGUUCUUAUUUUUUUUCCCCUUCCCUUGCCCUCCCUUCACCCCCUCCACCCUUCCCUAUUUGCAAAGACCUUGUUUCCAUUUUUUUUCC